rnacentral:rRNA from 1 species
AUUGAACGCUGGCGGCAUGCCUUACACAUGCAAAUCGAACGGUAACGGGCCUUCGGGUGCCGACGAGUGGCGAACGGGUGAGUAAUACAUCGGAACGUGCCCGAUCGUGGGGGAUAACAAGGCGAAAGCUUUGCUAAUACCGCAUACGAUCUACGGAUGAAAGCAGGGGACCGCAAGGCCUUGCGCGGACGGAGCGGCCGAUGGCAGAUUAGGUAGUUGGUGGGAUAAAAGCUUACCAAGCCGACGAUCUGUAGCUGGUCUGAGAGGAUGAUCAGCCACACUGGGACUGAGACACGGCCCAGACUCCUACGGGAGGCAGCAGUGGGGAAUUUUGGACAAUGGGCGCAAGCCUGAUCCAGCCAUGCCGCGUGCAGGAUGAAGGCCUUCGGGUUGUAAACUGAUUUUGUACGGAACGAAAAGCCUUCUUUUAAUACAGGAGGGUCAUGACGGUACCGUAAGAAUAAGCACCGGCUAACUACGUG